UACGUAGGUGGCAAGCGUUGUCCGGAUUUAUUGGGUUUAAAGGGUGCGUAGGCGGUGACCUAAGUCAGUUGUGAAAUACUUCAGCUUAACUGGAGAGGUGCAAUUGAUACUGGGAUACUUGAGUACUGAUGAGGUAUGCGGAAUGGACGGUGUAGCGGUGAAAUGCUUAGAUAUCGUCCAGAACACCGAUAGCGAAGGCAGCAUACUAAGGAGUAACUGACGCUGAGGCACGAAAGUGUGGGGAUCAAACAGG
rnacentral:rRNA from 1 species